UCCUGGGAUCAUGACCUCAGCCGAAGGCAGACGCUUAACCCACUGAGCCACCCAGGCUCCCCUCUCUGCCACAACUACUAAACCAUGCAAAAUGCCCAGCAUCCAGCCUGAAGCUCUCUAUACUCAGGGCUCCCAGGCCCUCAUGGCCCUCCUGUAGCACCCAUGUCAUCUGCCGUUUGGUGUUCUCUUGGAGAAGAAGCUGAAUCUAGAAUUCUUGAGGUGGGGGGUGUUUGUGUAGUGGCAAUGCUGAGUGCAUAGAAGGAGAAUGGAAAAGUCAACCGGUGAAGCACUCAUGUCUUCGACGGCUUUCCUGUGAGAUCUGUU
rnacentral:lncRNA from 1 species